ensembl:lncRNA
CCUCCUUUACGGCUCUUCACGACUCUCUCUGAUGACAAAGCAGCUGUUUGCCAUUUAAAGGUCGAAUGCCAGUAAUAGCGGGAUGGCAUUUUAUCAUCCGAAGAGCGCAAGCAGACGGGAGAUGAAAACUUGGAGGCUUGAGCCAAGUGCAAUCAAGUCCCUGGGUUGAGAAUCCGUGAAAAUAUGGAAUGUACCUUCAAUUAACCUCUCACAAAUACCUGGUCACCGGGACCGAUUCAUCUGAAGGUUGUUGCCUGGGCUAGCGAGCGUGUGCCUCCUGCCGAGAAGGAAGCAGCCUCUGAUCUUAUUCUCGCGUUCUUUCUGCUGUUGUAUUUACCUCCCUGGAUCAUUAACACGGGGCAGGAUUUGGCUUUGCAGAAAAAGGAGAGACCUUCCUUCCGCCGCGGAGGAAAUUCCAACCUACGCUACCCUGAUCUCGGAGACAGUGAAGGACAGGGAAGCCUGGUGCGCUGCAGUCCAUGGCAUCACAAAGAGGCGGACAUGACUGAGUGAAUGAACAGCAACAAUAGAUUGGUCUGGCUGCACUGGAUCUCAGUUGGAGCAUAUUACUCUUGGCACAGUGAUCCUGCAGUCGUUCGAGCCCAGCGUCUUGGCUAGAUACAGAACUGAAGCCUCAGAACAACGGCCUCCAAUCCCUUCACUUUGCAGCCAGGCGCCAGUCCGCAAGCAAGCCUGGUGCGAUUUCUCAGGCUCAGAAUCCCAGGGUGCAGAGAAGAGUGGAGACUGGGUCUUGCAGGGCGUGAGAGGAAAGGAGAAAAACACAGCUGUCUUCAUCCGAGGGUCUGCUUCUGGGAACGCCCAGCCUAAGACACCACCGUGUGGAAUUGCAGUCCUUUCAAGUCCCUGGCUUAGGGCAGCAGCUCUACACUUGCAGUGUCCAAACAGGCAAAUGCAUCUUCUUCCCUCACUGACCUGGGUAUGAGAGUCAGAAACCAACAGAGAUUCAAGGUCAAGGCAGUAUUUGCAGCAUCAAAAGGACCACGUUUUUGGCUGUACAAGACAGCACGUGGAACUUUCCUG